rnacentral:rRNA from 1 species
AGCGAACGCUGGCGGCAGGCCUAACACAUGCAAGUCGAACGAACCUUUCGGGGUUAGUGGCGGACGGGUGAGUAACACGUGGGAACGCGCCUUUAGGUUCGGAAUAACUCAGGGAAACUUGUGCUAAUACCGAAUGUGCCCUUCGGGGGAAAGAUUAAUCGCCUUUAGAGCGGCCCGCGUCUGAUUAGCUAGUUGGUUGAGGUAAUGGCUCACCAAGGCGACGAUCAGUAGCUGGUCUGAGAGGAUGAUCAGCCACAUUGGGACUGAGACACGGCCCAAACUCCUACGGGAGGCAGCAGUGGGGAAUCUUGCGCAAUGGGCGAAAGCCUGACGCAGCCAUGCCGCGUGAAUGAUGAAGGUCUUAGGAUUGUAAAAUUCUUUCACCGGGGACGAUAAUGACGGUACCCGGAGAAGAAGCCCCGGCUAACUUCGUG